GAGUUUGAUCGUGGCUCAGGAUGAACGCCGGCGGUGUGCCUAAUACAUGCAAGUCGUACGCACUGGCCCAACUGAUUGAUGGUGCUUGCACCUGAUUGACGAUGGAUCACCAGUGAGUGGCGGACGGGUGAGUAACACGUAGGUAACCUGCCCCGGAGCGGGGAUAACAUUUGGAAACAGAUGCUAAUACCGCAUAACAACAAAGGCCACAUGGCUUUUGUUUGAAAGAUGGCUUUGGCCAUCACCCUGGGAUGGACCUGCGGUGCAUUAGCUUGUUGGUAAGGUAACGGCUUACCAAGGCGAUGAUGCAUAGCCGAGUUGAGAGACUGAUCGGCCACAAUGGAACUGAGACACGGUCCAUACUCCUACGGGAGGCAGCAGUAGGGAAUCUUCCACAAUGGGCGCAAGCCUGAUGGAGCAACACCGCGUGAGUGAAGAAGGGUUUCGGCUCGUAAAGCUCUGUUGUUGGAGAGAACGUGCGUGAGAGUAACUGUU
rnacentral:rRNA from 1 species